AUACCUACCUGGCAGGGGAGAUACAUGAUCACAAAAGUGGUUUUUCCACAUUGAAUCUCACCCAUUGCAUUCCAGGUGUGCUGAUACCUGUGAUUUCCCAAAAUGUGGCAAACUUGAUUGCAGAAUUUGUGGUAGUGGGUGACUUCAUUCAUGCUCUCCCCAG